UGGGUGUUACCAGUACGCUGAUGACACCCAGAUCUAUUUCUCCAUGUCAACUUCUUCAAGAGCUGGCAUAUCCUCCCUAAAUGCCUGCCUGGAAGCCCUAAUGGGCUGGAUGAGGGAGAAUAAACUGAAGCAGAAUCCUGAUAAGACGGAGUAAGACCAACACUGGGCAUUUGCAAAGAGGAUUCUUUUAGAGAGACAACAGCUGCCAAGUUGAAGACAGAUUAUCCUGGAGAGAAUCUAUGUGGUCGCUAAGAGUCAACAUGCGCUCCCUAGUGAAAUAAGAGCCUCCCCAUCUCUGACAAUUUUUAAAAAGUCUUUAAAGACAUCUGUUCACCUAGGCUUUUAACUGAUAUUGUUUUAAUUUAAGGUUCUUUUUAGAAUAUCAUUUUUAAUUUUUUUUAAUUGCUGUUUUUUUUAAAAUUUCUUGUUUUUGUCUUUCACUAAUGUUUUACCUUUGUUUUUAUCUGGUUGUAUCGCCCAGAGAUGUAAGUUUUGGGCGGUAUAAAAAUAUGUUAAAUAAAUAAACAAAUCAAACAUUGACUUGACAGCA